UUGCCCAUAGUAGAUUACAAAGUUGUGCAACAGUGUAGCAUUGAAUAUUUAAAGUAGAAAUCAUUUGCAAUAAUUUUAACAAUAUGAAUACUUCUAUACUAGUAGUAUACUAUUUUGCUUAUGGAUCGAAUAUGCUCGAUUGUAGGUUUAAUAUUAAUAUACCACGUGCUAAGGUUGUAGGAAUUGGACAAUUAGAGAAUUACAGACUCGAUUUUUUUGGGUAUGGAAAAUCAUGGAAUGGAUCGGGGGCAACAAUUGUUAGAGCUCGUGAUUCUCAAGUUUGGGGUGUGAUCUGGAAAAUGCCUGAAAGUAAAGUAGCCGAUUUAGAUCGACAAGAAGGUGUACACGUCGAUUUAUACAAAGCGAUUGAGAUUAAAGUUACAAGUUUUAGCGGUAAAGUUUAUUAUUGCCGGAGCUAUAAAGCAGUUGUAGAUCCUAAGCCAGCUGUUAAGCUUGAUCAAUUACCAGACAAUCGAUUGCCUUCUUCAUUAUAUAUGUGACUAUAUUGCAUUGAAAGUUUUGAUAAAAGGUGCUCAGGAUCACCAUUUACCACAGGAUUAUAUCAAAUUUAUGAAAACUAUAAGACACAAUAACAUUACUGAUGUCUACCCUGAGGGAUUAGAGGCUUGUGGUUUAACCGGUCAUUAGAUGCCCUUCCGUUUUAUAACAUUACAAAUUUAUAAUAAAAUUAUUAAAUAAAAAGUAAUUUAAAAAUUUUAGGUUUUAUAAAAAUUUAACUAAAAUUACUAGUGAGU